rnacentral:rRNA from 1 species
AGAGUUUGAUCAUGGCUCAGGAUGAACGCUAGCGGCAGGCCUAAUACAUGCAAGUCGAACGAGUCGCAAGACUAGUGGCGCACGGGUGCGUAACACGUAGGUAACCUACCUUUUACCGGGGAAUAACGAUGGGAAACCAUCGCUAAUACCGCAUGAGACAGCAGAGGGGCAUCCCUUGGUUGUGAAAGAUUUAUUGGUAAAAGGUGGGCCUGCGGCUGAUUAGGUAGUUGGGGGUGUAACGGACCACCAAGCCGAUGAUCAGUAGGGGUUCUGAGAGGAAGAUCCCCCACACUGGCACUGAGAUACGGGCCAGACUCCUACGGGAGGCAGCAGUAGGGAAUAUUGGGCAAUGGAGGCAACUCUGACCCAGCCAUGCCGCGUGCAGGAAGAAGGCGCUCAGCGUUGUAAACUGCUUUUGUCCGGGAAGAAUGAUCGCUACGUGUAGCGAGAGUGACGGUACCGGGUGAAUAAGCACCGGCUAACUCCGUGCCAGCAGCCGCGGUAAUACGGAGGGUGCAAGCGUUGUCCGGAUUUAUUGGGUUUAAAGGGUGCGUAGGUGGCUUUUUAAGUCCGGGGUGAAAGGCGGUGGCUCAACCAUCAGCAGUGCCCUGGAUACUGGGAAGCUCGAGUAAGUUUGAGGCCGGUGGAACGGGUGGUGUAGCGGUGAAAUGCAUAGAUACCAUCCAGAACACCGAUUGCGGAGGCAGCCGGCUAAGACUUCACUGACACUGAGGCACGAAAGCGUGGGGAGCAAACAGGAUUAGAUACCCUAGUAGUCC